rnacentral:lncRNA from 1 species
CAUCACUUUUCAUAUAAUUACAAGAAAAAAUUAGUACAACUUCACCAAUAAUAUCACUAUAUUAUCAUAUAUAUAUAUAUAUAUAGAGAGAGAGAGAGAGAGGGAGAGAGAGAGAGUUGAGCUAGAAUGUUAUUGGUAACAAACGAACUCUGUUGCCACCCAUUUAUUUUCGAUGAUGGAGCCUCCAAAUUGACGAUCGGCACCGUUGAACAUAAUCUAUACCACUUGAAGCAUCUAGAAAUCAAAUUUCAAACUUUUUCGAUAUUAUUCUCUUGCCCAUCAAGUGAACACAAAAAUAAACGGAUGAAAAUGAAUAUCCUCUAAAAAGUUAUGAUAGGAAUCUUGUAAUCAAAAUCGAGAGCAAGGAUUUAAAUGCCGUGGCACGGGGUCGUGCCGGAAACUUGCCGGCACGGUACGGCAUGGUGCGUGCGGAGCCGUGCCGAUACGUGCCGGUUAAAAAAAUUCUUGUGUGCUGAGAUAUAAUAGCAUGAAAUAUUUAUUUUCUUUAGCAACAAAAUAUUCUAACUAUCUUUUUAUCACAUCUUUUGAACUUUAUUGAGGAAAUUACUUACUAAUUUAAAGAAUAGAGAGUUUUGAGCUGUGCCAUCGGCACGGGGUCUGUAUCGCACCGGUAUCUUGUUGGCACGGUACGGCACGGUAGAUAUGGCCCGUGCCGACGGGCACUUAAAACCGUGAUCGAGAGUAUAGAUUUUGUUCUAAAUAGUUUAAAAAAAUUUCUAAUUAAAAUUUAAUUGAUUUGGAUAUUUUUACACUGUUAAACGAGAAAAUACCUCAUAUCAAUCAUUAAAAUUACAAAUUUUGAAACCCUUUGAUCAUUAGGUCAAUGAUGUUGAAAAGAUUUAAAAUUUAUUUUCUAGAUACUUCAAGUGGUAUAAAUCAUAUUCA